CGUAAAAUGGCUGAGUAAGGCAUUAGACUGUAGAUCUAAAGACAGAGGCUAAACCAUUUUUUACCA
rfam:Nomascus leucogenys chromosome 17, whole genome shotgun sequence.